GUGUAGUAGUAAGUGUAAUAGAAUAGAAAUAAUGUUCACCUGCAUAAUGCAUCAUUUCAGUUUAUGUAAUAUGAGUACAGGUGAUUGCAGCACAACAGCAACAUAGGUCAGAAAGAGGAAGUGCAUGUCCUCACGUGACUUCCGCCCAUCCCAUUUCCGCAUGCGAGAGCCAAGAAAAACCAGGACGCACGUGGACUUACUUCGAAGGACACUCGACGUAUUUCGAUGUUCAAAUUGAACAUCUUCCCACAUCUACAAAGGACAGCCCUCCUGACAGAGACACACAUUAACAACAACCAGAAGAAGCUGAAGAAAGCCAGAGUGGAAUCAUCACCUGAAGAAGUCUUCACAACUUUUUACAGGGACAUGCUGCAGGAGCAUCCUCAGACCCUUCUGACCAUGACUGAAACACUUUUUUCUGAAACUGGACCAAAUGCCGACCUGGGAUUUAUCAAAUGGCUGAAGGACACUGAAAAUAGGAACACCUACAUUGCAGGAGUCGCCAGUCACUUACCAAAUAUCCCUGAGACAAUUCUACCAAUAGAAGUUCAUAGGUUACGUGCAGUUCUCUGCACAAUGAAAGACGUGCCAAAUGAGCAGGCACUAGAUAUUAUUGACAAACUACUGGAUCGGUUUUCCAAAAAAGAGAGACAUGAGAAGACAUGGAAGGCUGUACUGAAAACACUCUAUGUGAUAAUGCAGAAAACUAAAUGCAUGAAUGGCUGGGAUCUUAAGUUUGUUGAGAAGUUAUGCAAGACAAUUGUUCAUUUUGUGCAGGACCAACACCCCUUUAAAUUUCGAGUCUACACCUACGGUAUAUUUGCAAACUUGCUUUCAGUUGAACAUGCAGCGAGCAUCAUUACAUCAGUGGGAGUAACUUCAGUGCCUGAGGACAUACUGACAUAUGCAGAUAUGAAAAUGAAUGACAAGCUGAAAGAACUGCUCAAACAACUGAAAAAGCAUUUCUUGGAAUGUGAGGACUGUACAGCUGAAACCAAGAAGAAGAUGGAAAAGGCAGAAAACCCAAACAAUGACAUUUUCCCUGCAACUGAUCAAUUAUCCGUUCCUAUAAUGGAGUCCGCUUCAAAUGUGAAGCCAUUUAACCUCAAACCAACUGAAUCAGUAAUAAAAUACAAAUGGAAACAAAAAAGCAAGAGGUGGAGAGACAAAUUUAUGAAGCUUCACAGUAGUGAGGAAAGUGUAGUGACCAGAAUAAGGAGCAUGUUUUAUAUAAAUAAUCCAGAAUUCUGCAUAGCGAAGAAGAGUGAUGGGACUGAAGUCUACUUAGGGCUGAAAAAGGAUGGAACUGAACUUGCAAUUAAAAAAGUGCCCAAAUCCAACUCAAAUCAAGUGCUGAAUGAGGAGGGAAUUCUACGACUUUCAGGGCUUUUUGAUGCACCUAUUGUGCGAUACAAUGACUAUGAAGAGGAUGAGAAGUUUAUCUAUCUUGCUCUUCAUCUCUGUGAAUACACUUUAGAAGAAUACAUCAAACUAAAGGAUGUAGAUCAAAAGAAACUGGUCUUUCAGAUGCUCGAUGGUUUAAAGGCGCUUCACUGUCAGAAUCCUCCAAUUUUCCACGGGCAUCUCAAACCACAGAACACUUUGAUUGAUGUUAACAGGAAAGCGAGAUUAGCUGGUUUUGGCAAAAGUAGACGAUUACCCACAGGAAAAACAACUUUGCCCACUGGCAGUGUUGAAACUAAGGAGGCUGACAUAAAGAUGGCAGGUAUGCUGAUUUAUUACAUCUACACUGGAGGAGACCAACCUUUCGGUGUUGUACCCUGUGACAACAUUCAUAAAGGGACGUACAAUUUGGACGACGUUAAAGAUGCGUUGGCAAAGGACCUCAUCAAGAUGAUGAUUGAUGCAGAACCACAGAAAAGACCAAAAGUGGAAGAAUGCUUGAAUCAUCCCUUGUUCUGGUCCACGGAAAGGAGAGUUAACUACUUGAAAGAGGUUGGAAACAGAAAGGAGGUGGAAGACUGUAGAAAACCGAUAAAAGACGAUAAAUUAAUUUCUUCAAUGAACGAAUGUGUUGGAAAAGGAUCCUUUACAGAGUGGGAGGAAGAGGUGACUGCAUCUUAACUAUUGUGUAUACUGUAUAUAUAGUGCAUAUAUGUGUAUAUAGAUAUAUAUUAAUGUUUGGCAUUACAGUUUCCACGCGAGUUGGUUACGAAGUUGCAGAACUGGAGGAAGACAGGCUACCCUAAAAACAUGCUGGGAUUACUGCGCUUCAUACGAAACGUCUAUCAGCACCAUUUUAAAGACGCGGCCAAACUUGAUCCGGUGUCAAUGUUUCCUCGUCUCUUUGAAUGUGCCUAUAUGUUUGCCAAAAGCCAAGGAUGGAAUUCAGAGCCACUUCUGAAGCAAAUGUUUAUACCAAGCGAUGACUCCACUGCCAGUGACGCAGAGACGGCCACAAGCUCUGAUGACCCUCUCAAGAUGUCUUUUCAAGAUACUCACCAUCCUAGUCAUUAUAGAUAGCUUGCCAUUGAUGUUUCUUUAACAUAAACAGACACAGUGUCUCCAGACUAGAAUAUGUUGACAAUAACACCUCCAUGGGUAAAAACAUUCUCUUUGACUAGUUCUGGGCGUAUAUUAUUUGGGUGUUAUCUUGGGGUUUAAAGUCGAUCCACCAGCAUGAGUUCUGCAGAAUGUGAGACCGACUCAGGCACUUCUGAUGUACUUUGAUUCUCCUUGAUCAAGC